rnacentral:rRNA from 1 species
GACGAACCGUGCGAACGUUGUUCGGAUUCACUGGGCUUAAAGGGCGCGUAGGCGGCCGGCCGCGUCCGGAGUGAAAUCCUCCGGCUCAACCGGGGAAGGGCUUCGGAUACGGGCCGGCUGGAGGGGGGGGGUAGGGGGCCGACGGAACUUCCGGUGGAGCGGUGAAAUGCGUAGAUAUCUGGAGGAACACCGGUGGCGAAGGCGGCAUCCUGGACCGGUAUUGACGCUGAGGCGCGAAAGCUAGGGGAGCAAACGGG